GACGAACGCUGGCGGCGUGGAUUAGGCAUGCAAGUCGAACGGUAUCAUCCUUUCGGGGGUGAGAGAGUGGCGAACUGGUGAGUAACACGUAGGUUAUCUACCCUCAAGACGGGGACAACCCAGGGAAACUUGGGCUAAUACCGGAUGUGAGCAACUUUUAGUUGUUUGAAAGGUGGCGUAAGCUGUCGCUUGGGGAUGAGCCUGCGUCCUAUUAGUUAGUUGGUGAGGUAACGGCUCACCUAGGCAAUGAUAGGUAGGCGGCCUUAACGGGUGGUCGCCCACACUGGGAUUGAGAUACGGCCCAGACUCCUACGGGAGGCAGCAGUCGAGAAUAGUCUACAAUGGUCGGAAGACUGAUAGUGCGACGCCGCGUGAACGAUGAAUCCCUUCGGGGUGUAAAGUUCUUUUAUAUGUGAGCAGUGCUUCUUAUAUUAACAGUAUGGGGAAGAGAUACUAGCAUAUGAAUAAGCAACGGCUAACUCCGUGCCAGCAGCCGCGGU
rnacentral:rRNA from 1 species